AGUUGCAAAAUAUUUUCGAUAACCGUGGACGUAAUUAAACUGACAAAUAUUACUCGUAAAUAUAUUAUACGUGCUUACAACGUGCAAAAUAGUUUGUGUUAACGGCUGUUUACAAUGUCGAAAAUCAGAACGUGAUGAAUUUAUUCAAAUAUUGAAAUAUAGUUUAUGUACAUAAAUACCAAUAAGCCGAUAUGUGGUUUAUAAAAUAAAGUGAUUUAUAUGUCAGUCAGGGAAAAAGUCAACAAAAAAUGUAUUCGUUAAAUUAUGCAGUAGUUAGCAGUUGGUUGGUCUUUACUGAAAUAUUAAAUAUCUUGAACUAAGAACGUUAGUUAUGGACUGUUAUGGAAGUCAGGAACUUCCUGAUUGUGCCACGUAGUUGGAAUACCGAGCUCAAAGAACACAGUCGACAGCGUACCAGUCGAUACCGAAAACAUGUGUCAAUGGAGAGGUCGGGUGCUAGCGAGCGCGCUGGCG
rnacentral:misc_RNA from 1 species